rnacentral:rRNA from 2 species
GCUAAUCUGCGAUAAGCGCCGGUAAGGUGAUAUGAACCGUUAUAACCGGCGAUUUCCGAAUGGGGAAACCCAGUGUGACUCGUCACACUAUCAUUAACUGAAUCCAUAGGUUAAUGAGGCGAACCGGGGGAACUGAAACAUCUAAGUACCCCGAGGAAAAGAAAUCAACCGAGAUUCCCCCAGUAGCGGCGAGCGAACGGGGAGGAGCCCAGAGCCUGAAUCAGCAUGUGUGUUAGUGGAAGCGUCUGGAAAGGCGCGCGAUACAGGGUGACAGCCCCGUACACAAAAGCGCAUGUGCUGUGAGCUCGAUGAGUAGGGCGGGACACGUGGUAUCCUGUCUGAAUAUGGGGGGACCAUCCUCCAAGGCUAAAUACUCCUGACUGACCGAUAGUGAACCAGUACCGUGAGGGAAAGGCGAAAAGAACCCCGGCGAGGGGAGUGAAAAAGAACCUGAAACCGU